CCAGCCCCGAGAAGAGAUAAACUGGCACAGGAAAAACGAAGAAAUCCAGGAUUUCUGCACUGUUGGAUAGAAAACAGCUUUGUAUCGAAGUGCAAAUGCCUGUUUGAAAGCUCUUGUGCCAGAGAUAUUAGAAAUUGCUUUUGAUGAUCAACCAUCACCUGAGGACCAGGAAAGCUCUGUAGUUUAUCCACUUCAAUCAAACAAAAAUAGUCCCUACCCCAAAUAGUCUUAAUCAACUCAUCUGAGAACAUGCUAAUGAAUAUCCAUAUAGUUAAGAGGCACAACCAAAACAGAAGUGAUCCCGCUGCACAUCAUUUGUAAGCAAAGAAGUUGAACACAGUAAGUAUACUGGUAUUACCAACUGCCACGAUACCUUUGAACUCAAGGAAGUGGUGAAGUCUAAAUGAGUACACAAGCAAAUCCAGGGUCCAUCACUGAAAUAAAAUGUUUAGCUUGAACACUGCUCUCCCAGACUUUUCUGCAGCAGUUGAUAAGCAUAUAGUUUCAAUUUUUUAAAAUGACCAUCUGUUUCUUAGUUGAAAGAAAUGUUUGUUUACAUCAAAAGAAACACAACAUAUACAAGAAAACUCAUAAGUGUUUCAACUGCUUCAUGAAUCAAGAUUCCUCUCAACUUUCAAAUCUCAAUUGCCAUAGCUGUCAACAAACUAGUCACUGGUAUGAUUGUCAAUGCCCCCCUUCUACUCCUUCAAACACAACUGUUAGGCCAGACUUUUUAUUUAUAGCAGCUAUUCCUAACUAAGCAGCCUCCAGAAGGUUCAGAUUAUAUAGUUCCCAACAUUUUGAAUACCGGAUUGAGGAAGACCAGUCUAUUUUAUCUUAGUGACAUUUAGCAAUGGAUCAUGUUAAUAAGUACACUCCUCAAAAUUGUUUUAAGUGCAAAAUAUUGAUGAUGCAAUUGCAGGGGGAAACAUUUUAAGUUCUGGCCCAUCUAUUGAUUGGUACUGAUAGAGCUUUCCCAUAGUGCUUAACUCCAAAAAGCAAAAUAUAUGGUUGGAUACCAAACAACAAGUAGAUUUGAAUCAGAUCUUUAACAGAUGAACAGUAUGCAUUCAUGUGUGGAAGCAGUAACCAUGGCAAGAAAUUUCAUCAACUUUAGCUAUAUUAAUUCUCAAGAGCCUCAGCUAACAUGACUAUGGGAAGCCGGUAGUUACCUAUUACAAAGAACUGGAGGACCAAAGGAUUCCCAAUUAUAUAGAUGGGAUAUCUUUGAAUAGGCAUACAAAAGACUGCAGUGUGAACCAAUCUCUUAUUUUUACCCCAGUCUACUGGUAAAUACUGUCUGUCGAAUAUGAAGGAAAACUUAGAAAAAGGCAGAAAGGAAAAAAAGACUUUGGAAGUUUAUUCUUUGAUAAAUUUAAACUGAAAGUGAUGACUUUGCUACUAACAUUUUCCUAGAUGUACAAAAAUCUAUUCACAGGCAAGUCUGUGUAUACUCUAAGACAUUAAAUUAGAGCUACAUGUGAGUGACAUAGAAGAUGAAGUUUCUAUUCAAAGAGCAAAGUCCAAUAAUCAUUUUGGUAAAGCAAUAGCCUGUUCUGGUUAAUGAGUUCAAAGAUAGAGUCUUCCUCUAGAAAAUUACAAUACAGAUAACGCAUACAAUUACAAUACAAGAGGGGCUAAUUGUUAGUAACUAGCAUCUAAAACAGAAUUUUUAUAGUAAAAACACAUAGAAAUUAAAAUCAGUUGCAUUUUUUAAAACUGGAAAAAUGGAGUCGCUUCUUAAGCAUAAAAGUGGUAAUUCAUUUAAAAAAAAAA